rnacentral:misc_RNA from 1 species
ACCAUGUACAGAUCCUAAUGAAACACAAGUAACCUGCAGAGUCUCAAUUUUCUGUAUAGCAUUGAUUACAUUGUUUUAUAGAAAUUUAGUGGUGGGCUAACUACUUAGAAAAGAAGAUUCGGGAGAGGAUCAAUGUCAUGCUGACCAGAAAGAACAGGCUAAGAUAACAACUUCAACUGCAAAAUUUUUGCUCGAGAGGGUGCCAAGGAGGAGAGAAUAGAUGCCCAUGUAUUGGGUGGUAAAUCGCUCCGAAAGUCCUCUAACUGUUCAAUUAUUCUGUUGACAGUUCCCUUUGAGGCCAAAUUUUGACCAG